CGCGUAGGCGGUUUAACAAGUCGGAUGUGAAAUCUCCUGGCUUAACUAGGAGGGGUCAUUCGAUACUGUUGAACUAGAGGACAGCAGAAGGAGAUGGAAUUCCCGGUGUAGUGGUGAAAUGCGUAGAUAUCGGGAGGAACACCAGUGGCGAAAGCGGUCUCCUAGGCUGUUGCUGACGCUGAGGUGCGAAAGCGUGGGGAGCGAACAGGAUUAGAUACCCUGGUAGUCCACGCUAUAAACUGUGGACACUAGGUAUGGGGAGUAUCGACCCUCUCUGUGCCGAAGCUAACGCUUUAAGUGUCCCGCCUGGGGACUACGGCCGCAAGGCUAAA
rnacentral:rRNA from 1 species